rnacentral:misc_RNA from 1 species
CUGGCAACCUGGAAUUCAAGAAGGGGCAGCUGACUGGGAUGAAGAUUGGGAUAAAUUUGAAGAUGAAGGUUUCAUGUUUGUCAAAGAGCUCACUCUGGAUGUGCAAAAUGUUGUAGCCCCUCCAAAACAGAAAUAUUUAGUUCAAAAAGUAACCACUCCCACAAAUGAGGAUUUAAGUGCUUCCCCCUCAAAGGCUGCAGCAAUGUCAGAGAACGAUGCAAGACUAGGUGAAGCAGUUCAAGAGAAAGAAUCAACUCACGACCAUAGUGAGAAUGGCACGGCAAGGAGUCUGCCAGACAGUCCUGCUGGUGCUGGAAGAAGUCCAACAGAGAGCCAAUUGCAUGAAUUCCGAGAUUCUCCAUUCAAAGAGAGUACUGGUGCUGAUAGUUCACCCCACGCUAAAGAAAUCCAAAGUGACAUGGGUAGCACUGAAAUUUCUGGGGAUAAAAGUGGUGAUGAACAUGGCUGGGGUACAUUUGACACUCAUUAUGAUACAGAAUCUGUUUGGGGCUUUGAUUCUGUUAAUGGCAAGGACUUGGAUCAUGAUUCUCACAGUGAAAGUCUAUUUGGUAUGGGUAUGGGUGAAUUUGCUCUAAAUCCAAUAAAGACAGGAUCCUCACGUGCAGAUAAUAUGUACCCGGGGAAGAGCACAUCUGUUUUUGCAGAUUCUGUUCCAGGCACCCCUGCAUAUGAUCAGGGGAGAAGCUUGUUUGCAGAUUCUGUUCCAAGUACCCCUGCAUAUAACCAGGGGAAGAACACAUUUAUGUUUGCAGAUUCUGUCCCCAGCACCCCAGCCUACAACCAGGGAAAGAGCUCCUUUGGUUUUGGGGAUUCUGUUUCCAGCACUCCAGCCUAUAACGAGGGGAAGAGCUCCUUUGGGAUUGUGGAUUCUGUUCCCAGCACCUCAGCCCAUAACCAGGGGUCAUUUGGAUUUUCAGAUUCUGUUCCUGGCACCCCUGCCUAUAAGUUUGGGAGCUCUCCACGGAAGUUUAGUGAAGGGUCGGAGGACCACUCCUUUGACCGCUUAUCUAGGUUUGAUUCGUUUAGUAUGCAUGACAGUGGACUAUUUCAAUCCCCACGCCACUCUCUUGGAAGAUUUGAUUCCAUGAACAGCGCUAGGGACUCUGAUCAAAGUUAUGGCUUCCCAUCAAGGUUUGAUUCAUUUAGAGAAUCCAGAGAUUCUGAUCAAGGUCAUGGAAGGUUUGAUUCUUUCAGAGAUUCUGAUCAGAGUCAUGGUUUCUCACGGUUUGAUUCGUUUAGGGACACUGAUAACAGUCAGAGUCUCCCAUCAAGGUUUGAUUCGUUUCGAGAGACUGAUAACAGUCAUGGGUUCCCAUCAAGUUUUGAUUCAUUUAGAGACACUAGAGACUCGGAUCAGGAUCAUGGGUUCUCAAGAUUUGAUUCAUUUAAUGCCAAUGACAGUGGAUUCUUCCAGUCCUAUGGCAAUUCCUUUGCCAGAUUUGAUUCUGUACGUGGCUCUAGAGAGACUGAUAAUAGUCAAUUCUCAUCAUUUGACGACUCUGAUCCAUUUGGCUCUACUGGGCCAUUUAAGACAUCAGUAGAGAGUGAAACUCCAAGAAAAAGUUCUGAUAACUGGAAAGCUUUUUAGUUCGGUAUUGCACAUCAUAUGACGGGGGUGCUUUCCUUCCACAUGAAGCCUUUUUCUUCAUCUUUUUUCCUCCAUGAGAUUUGGUCCCGUAGGUGUGGCAGCCUGGUUCUUCGACAAGUACAUAGCGUGUGGUGGUGAAUUAUUGGUUGUGCUAUUAGCCAUGUUUGAUUUUGCACUUUCUUUUUUUGUCUAAAAUUGAAUUACUUGUGUGUUAGUUUUUCCCUGUAAUUUUUUGAUCAGGACAUAUGGAUUAUUUGUUAUUUUUUCAACGUAUACUCUUAAACACUACUUGUGAUAUGGAAAUCAAAUUGAAUUAGUUUUUGGCGAAAUUUGAUCCUGUAGGUGUGGCGAACUCUUUUU